GUUAUCAAGAAAGGUAGAGGGAUUAGACCCGAUGAAACCUUAGCAACCCUCCUCUUGGAGAAGGUGCUACAUUCUACGCUACAUCAGCGAUAGAUAA
rnacentral:ncRNA from 1 species